UUGGUUUUCAUUUUCAGCCGCUCAUUUUUAUUGUGCCCUCCAUCUUCAUUUUCGUUUCACUGCUACUCCCACCAUCGACAGUCCCUCUGUCGACAGUCAGUACUCCCUCCGUAUCCGUAACUCCCUCCAUUGAUAGUCCCUAUGUCGACAGUCCUUCCGUAGCGUUACAAUCUGUAUCUCUAUCUCGCUUAUUCAUCUCUCCACAACCAGAAACUCCCUCCGACCGGUCGCUCCUUCUCCUCUUCCCUGCAUCCGUCCACUGCCACUCGCUGCUAACUGCAUCCAGUCCCGCUUGUUUUCCAUGCCUGCCACCACUUCCAGCACAGGAAUUUGAGACGAUUGGGUUGCGUACAGUCACUUUUGCCACUGCAUAGCACGAUGGCGGAAGCUUGACUCACUUCACAUAUUGUUCUCCUACAUUUCGUGAAUCUCUUACAAGUUUAGGGUUUAGGGUUCUAAAUAGUCAACAUGUGUUUAAUUUUGGGGAGGGUAUUUGCUUCUUCAAUUAUGUUUACGGUACAACGAAUUUCUUUAUCAUCCAUAUUCAAGCUUGCUAAAAGCACAGGACAAUGGUUUUGACGGGUUUAUUAGGCCUUGCAGUAUCUUUACAUUGUGUUUUUUUAUGAUGUUGUCUUAGACAAUCCCUUUCUCUAAGUCUAAUGCUGCCAAAUAUUUCAGGUCCUUCAUUAGGGGUAACCAAUCUUAUAUCGCCAUCCUGGUUGAAUUUAAAUUUCAGGUUAGAUGAGAGGAGAAUACAUAUUGAAUAACUAGUAAGAGAGCUCAAGCUUCCAUUGGACAUCAAGUUAUCUGUAAAAGCUCUUGAAGAUUAUGGUCUGGUAGACUCCACCAUAUAUGACUUCCAUUACAAACUAGCUUGGAAUUUUCUGUCACUGAAAGAAAGAAUUUAGCUGAGGAUCAUGCUGGUAUAGAGCAAGAACUAAUAAUGAUAUUGGUGUUGUUUUGUUUUGAAUUAUAGGGUGAUGUAGAUAUUUUCUGGAUCAAUUAAUCUGUUAUAUGCUUAAAAAUCGUCUGAAUCUUGUUUGUUGACUAAGUUA